UACGUAGGGUGCAAGCGUUGUCCGGAUUUAUUGGGCGUAAAGAGCGUGUAGGCGGUUAGGUAGGUCCGUUGUGAAAACUCGAGGCUCAACCUCGAGACGCCGAUGGAAACCAUCUAACUAGAGUCCGGAAGAGGAGAAUGGAAUUCCUGGUGUAGCGGUGAAAUGCGCAGAUAUCAGGAAGAACACCCGUGGCUAAGGCGGUUCUCUAGUACGGUACUGACGCUGAGACGCGAAAGCGUGGGGAGCGAACAGG
rnacentral:rRNA from 1 species